rnacentral:tRNA from 1 species
UCCCUGUUGGUCCAGUGGCUAAGACUCUGUGCCCUCAAUGCAGAGGGCCUGGGUUCCAUCCCUGGUCAGGGAA